UCGGCUCGUAAUAACGUCUGAAAUGGUAUCAACAUGGACAUGUUUGAUGUGAGGGGAGGUCGGCUCGUAAUAACGUCUGAAAUGGUAUCAACAUGGACGUGUUUGAUGUGAGGGGAGGUCGGCUCGUAAUAACGUCUGAAAUGGUAUCAACAUGGACGUGUUUGAUGUGAGGGGAGGUCGGCUCGUAAUAACGUCUGAAAUGGUAUCAACAUGGACGUGUUUGAUGUGAGGGGAGGUCGGCUCGUAAUAACGUCUGAAAUGGUAUCAACAUGGACGUGUUUGAUGUGAGGGGAGGUCGGCUCGUAAUAACGUCUGAAAUGGUAUCAACAUGGACGUGUUUGAUGUGAGGGGAGGUCGGCUCGUAAUAACGUCUGAAAUGGUAUCAACAUGGACGUGUUUGAUGUGAGGGGAGGUCGGCUCGUAAUAACGUCUGAAAUGGUAUCAACAUGGACGUGUUUGAUGUGAGGGGAGGUCGGCUCGUAAUAACGUCUGAAAUGGUAUCAACAUGGACGUGUUUGAUGUGAGGGGAGGUCGGCUCGUAAUAACGUCUGAAAUGGUAUCAACAUGGACGUGUUUGAUGUGAGGGGAGGUCGGCUCGUAAUAACGUCUGAAAUGGUAUCAACAUGGACGUGUUUGAUGUGA